CUUUACUGUAGCUUUGCAUUGGACUUUGAACCGGUCUGUGUAGGAUAGGUGGGAGGCUUUGAAGCGUGGUCGCUAGAUCACGUGGAGCCAACCUUGAAAUACCACCCUGGUUUGUUUGAGGUUCUAACCAUGGCCUGUGAAUCCAGGUCUGGGACCGUGCAUGGUAGGCAGUUUGACUGGGGCGGUCUCCUCCCAAAGAGUAACGGAGGAGUACGAAGGUACGCUAGGUACGGUCGGACAUCGUGCUAAUAGUGCAAUGGCAUAAGCGUGCUUGACUGCGAGACCCACAAGUCGAGCAGGUACGAAAGUAGGUCAUAGUGAUCCGGUGGUUCUGUAUGGAAGGGCCAUCGCUCAACGGAUAAAAGGUA
rnacentral:rRNA from 1 species